AGCGAGAGCGCCCGUCGUGUGAGAAGUGUACGAACAAGGGGAAAAGUCCACACCUGAUUCCUCAUGACAAGUAGUCGUUCAAAUGCUACAGUACGAGGACUAGAUGGCGGCACAGCUGUGAAGAGUGACGCUCUGAGGCUGACCCACGUGAAGGUCCCGACACAGCUUUGAAAGUGCCAUCUUGGGAGCAGUCAGGGACUUCACCAGACGACCAACCUGUCAGUGCCUUGAUCUUGACUUC